GCGCGGCUCCCGUGCCACCUGGCCGUGAGGCCCCUGGACCCCCUCACCUACCCGGAUGGCGACCGCGUGCUGGUAGCGGUGUGCGGCGUGGAGGGCGGCGCGCGGGGCCUGGACGGCCUGCUGGUGAAGUACGACGAGGAUCUGGAGGAGAUGGCCAUUGUGUCUGAUACUAUCCACCCCCAGGCGUCCGUGGAGGUGAACGCGCCCCUGAAGUUUGGUUUAGAUAUCAAGUCAUCAGGGUCUGGCUGUGUAAAAGUUCAAAGUAUUGAGUGUGAUAAUUGCAAAAUUGAAACAGAGCAUGGGACUAGCAUCUUGCAGUCUGUUAAGACCUCUUAGAAAAUCUAAUUGUCUCCUUAAGAAAAAAAUGCAUGUCUAUGAAAUUUUGCUUAUAAUUUUGUAAGUUCAUGUGAGCUUGGUUAAGAGUUCUUGACUUAAAACAACAAGUGUGCUCCUCCCGUUGCCCAAGAUGCCGAAAGGAAAGGAGGCCAAGGGGAAGAAGUUGGCUCUGGCCCCUGCUUUUGUGAAGAAGCAGGAGGCCAAGAAAGUGGUGAAUCCCCUCUUUGAGAAAAGGCCUAAGAAUUUUGGCAUUGGACAGGACAUCCAGCCCAAAAGAGACCUCACCUGCUUUGUGAAAUGGCCCCGCUAUAUCAGGUUGCAAUGGCAGAGAGCCAUACUCUAUAAGCAGCUGAAAGUGCCUCCUGCGAUUAACCAGUUCACCCA
rnacentral:sRNA from 1 species